UACGUAGGGUGCGAGCGUUGCCCGGAUUUAUUGGGCGUAAAGAGCGUGUAGGCGGUUCGGUAAGUCUGUCGUGAAAUCCUGAGGCUCAACCUUGGACGUGCGAUGGAUACUGCCGGGCUAGAGGAUGGUAGAGGCGAGUGGAAUUCUCGGUGUAGCGGUGAAAUGCGCAGAUAUCGGGAGGAACACCAGUAGCGAAGGCGGCUCGCUGGGCCAUUCCUGACGCUGAGACGCGAAAGCUAGGGGAGCGAACAGG
rnacentral:rRNA from 1 species